rnacentral:rRNA from 1 species
UACGGAGGGGGCUAGCGUUGUUCGGAAUUACUGGGCGUAAAGCGCACGUAGGCGGCUUUGUAAGUUAGAGGUGAAAGCCCAGGGCUCAACCCUGGAAUUGCCUUUAAGACUGCAUCGCUUGAACAUCGGAGAGGUAAGUGGAAUUCCGAGUGUAGAGGUGAAAUUCGUAGAUAUUCGGAAGAACACCAGUGGCGAAGGCGACUUACUGGACGAUUGUUGACGCUGAGGCGCGACAGCGUGGGGGAGCAAACAGG